rnacentral:rRNA from 1 species
GAUGAACGCUAGCGGCAGGCCCAACACAUGCAAGUCGAGGGGCAGCAUAAAAUAAACUUGUUUAUUUGGUGGCGACCGGCGCACGGGUGCGUAACGCGUAUGCAACCUACCUUAUACUGGGGAAUAGCCCGAAGAAAUUCGGAUUAAUGCCCCAUAGUACUGAGACCCCUCCUGAGGAUUCAGUUAAAGCUUUGGCGGUAUAAGAUGGGCAUGCGUCCAAUUAGCUAGAUGGUGAGGUAACGGCUCACCAUGGCGACGAUUGGUAGGGGGCCUGAGAGGGUGGUCCCCCACACUGGUACUGAGACACGGACCAGACUCCUACGGGAGGCAGCAGUGAGGAAUAUUGGUCAAUGGGCGCAAGCCUGAACCAGCCAUGCCGCGUGAAGGAUGAAGGUUCUAUGGAUUGUAAACUUCUUUUAUUUGGGAAUAAACCUCUUUACGUGUAGAGAGCUGAAGGUACCAAAUGAAUAAGCACCGGCUAACUCCGUGCCAGCCGCCGCGGUAACAC